UUUACUUUUCUGAAGCUAUGAGUAAAAUAGUGAAUCAUAGUUAAGAAAUAGCCACUACUAGUAUUAAAGAUACCUUUUUUUCUUUUAAAUUUAGGAACGUAAUUUAACACAGCUUAGCAUUUGAAGAAAACUAAGAUUUGUUUGUUCAAAUAAACAGGGAAGUGUAAAGCCAGUGGGGAUCAUAUGACCAAGGCAGUGAAACAAGGGCUUCAUGAUAAAUAUGCCAUGGACAAAGGUCAAGCAAAGGAUAAUAACUCAAUUCCUUAAAUGAAAGCUUCAAAGUAAAUCUUCUGUGUUUAACAGCAGUAUACAGGGGUCAAGAUUACAAUGUCCCAGACUAGAGAAUAAAAUGUGUGUUAAUA